rnacentral:rRNA from 1 species
UUUUGGACAAUGGGCGAAAGCCUGAUCCAGCAAUGCCGCGUGUGGGAAGAAGGCCUUCGGGUUGUAAACCACUUUUGUACGGAACGAAACGGUCUGCUUUAAUACAGUGGGCUAAUGACGGUACCGUAAGAAUAAGCACCGGCUAACUACGUGCCAGCAGCCGCGGUAAUACGUAGGGUGCGAGCGUUAAUCGGAAUUACUGGGCGUAAAGCGUGCGCAGGCGGUUAUAUAAGACAGUUGUGAAAUCCCCGGGCUCAACCUGGGAAUUGCAUCUGUGACUGUAUAGCUAGAGUACGGUAGAGGGGGAUGGAAUUCCGCGUGUAGCAGUGAAAUGCGUAGAUAUGCGGAGGAACACCGAUGGCGAAGGCAAUCCCCUGGACCUUACUACGCUCAUCACGAAG